rnacentral:rRNA from 1 species
AUUGAACGCUGGCGGCAGGCCUAACACAUGCAAGUCGAGCGGAUGACGGGAGCUUGCUCCUUGAUUCAGCGGCGGACGGGUGAGUAAUGCCUAGGAAUCUGCCUGGUAGUGGGGGACAACGUUUCGAAAGGAACGCUAAUACCGCAUACGUCCUACGGGAGAAAGCAGGGGACCUUCGGGCCUUGCGCUAUCAGAUGAGCCUAGGUCGGAUUAGCUAGUUGGUGAGGUAAUGGCUCACCAAGGCGACGAUCCGUAACUGGUCUGAGAGGAUGAUCAGUCACACUGGAACUGAGACACGGUCCAGACUCCUACGGGAGGCAGCAGUGGGGAAUAUUGGACAAUGGGCGAAAGCCUGAUCCAGCCAUGCCGCGUGUGUGAAGAAGGUCUUCGGAUUGUAAAGCACUUUAAGUUGGGAGGAAGGGCAGUAAGUUAAUACCUUGCUGUUUUGACGUUACCGACAGAAUAAGCACCGGCUAACUCUGUGCCAGCCGCCGCCGUAAAAC